UGGGGAAUAUUGGACAAUGGGGGCAACCCUGAUCCAGCGAUGCCGCGUGUGUGAAGAAGGCCUUCGGGUUGUAAAGCACUUUAGGUUGGGACGAAGGGGUAGUGGUGAAUAGCCAUUACUUUUGACGGUACCGACAGAAUAAGCACCGGCUAACUCUGUGCCAGCAGCCGCGGUAAUACAGAGGGUGCGAGCGUUAAUCGGAGUUACUGGGCGUAAAGGGCGCGUAGGCGGUCUAUCAAGUGAGAUGUGAAAGCCCUGGGCUUAACCUAGGAAUUGCAUCUUAGACUGGUAGGCUGGAGUGCAGUAGAGGGUGGUGGAAUUUCCGGUGUAGCGGUGAAAUGCGUAGAGAUUGGAAGGAACAUCAGUGGCGAAGGCGGCCACCUGGACUGAGACUGACGCUGAGGCGCGAAAGCGUGGGUAGCAAACAG
rnacentral:rRNA from 1 species